AUCCUUCUGGUUUGUGUAUGUGAUGAAUGGGUGUUCACUCACCUGAGUAAGAUGUGCCACCCCAACCUUUCUUGUUACACACAGGUAUAUUACCCGUCUGUUU
ensembl:snoRNA